UCCGUAGGGGGCAAGCGUUGUCCGGAUUUAUUGGGCGUAAAGAGCGUGUAGGCGGCUAGAUAGGUCCGUUGUGAAAACUCAAGGCUCAACCUCGAGACGUCGAUGGAAACCAUCUGGCUAGAGUCCGGAAGAGGAGAGUGGAAUUCCUGGUGUAGCGGUGAAAUGCGCAGAUAUCAGGAAGAACACCCGUGGCGAAGGCGGCUCUCUGGUACGUGACUGACGCUGAGACGCGAAAGCGUGGGGAGCAAACAGG
rnacentral:rRNA from 1 species